GGCGACCGGCGCACGGGUGAGUAACACGUAUCCAGCCUGCCGAUAACUCGGGGAUAGCCUUUCGAAAGGAAGAUUAAUAUCCGAUAGUAUAUCUUCUCCGCAUGGCGAGAAUAUUAAGAAUUUCGGUUAUCGAUGGGGAUGCGUUCCAUUAGUUUGUUGGCAGGGUAACGGCCCACCAAGACUACGAUGGAUAGGGGUUCUGAGAGGAAGGUCCCCCACAUUGGAACUGAGACACGGUCCAA
rnacentral:rRNA from 1 species